AAGACCCCGUGAACCUUUACUAUAGCUUGACACUGAACAUUGAGCCUUGAUGUGUAGGAUAGGUGGGAGGCUUUGAAGUGUGGACGCCAGUCUGCAUGGAGCCGACCUUGAAAUACCACCCUUUAAUGUUUGAUGUUCUAACGUUGACCCGUGAUCCGGGUUGCGGACAGUGUCUGGUGGGUAGUUUGACUGGGGCGGUCUCCUCCUAAAGAGUAACGGAGGAGCACGAAGGUUGGCUAAUCCUGGUCGGACAUCAGGAGGUUAGUGCAAUGGCAUAAGCCAGCUUGACUGCGAGCGUG
rnacentral:rRNA from 1 species